rfam:Triticum aestivum genome assembly, contig: Triticum_aestivum_CS42_TGACv1_scaffold_195704_3AL
GAUGGCUGUGACGAUUUCCAAAUAUUCAAGCUCAACAAACCAAAUCACAGGUUUGCUCCUAGGAGUUGAUUUGUAUGCCGAUUAUCCCGCUGAACCGAGCCAUC